rnacentral:misc_RNA from 1 species
GAUGAAGAACGUAGUGAAAUGCGAUAAGUAGUGUGAAUUGCAGAAUUCAGUGAAUCAUCGAGUCUUUGAACGCACAUUGCGCCCCCUGGUAUUCCGGGGGGCAUGCCUGUCCGAGCGUCAUUGCUGCCCUCAAGCACGGCUUGUGUGUUGGGCCUCCGUCCUCCUCCCGGGGGACGGGCCCGAAAGGCAGCGGCGGCACCGCGUCCGGUCCUCGAGCGUAUGGGGCUUCGUCACCCGCUCUUGUAGGCCCGGCCGGCGCUUGCCGACACAUCAAUCUUUUUUCCAGGUUGACCUCGGAUCAGGUAGGGAUACCCGCUGAACUUAAGCAUAUCAAUAAGCGGAGGA